rnacentral:lncRNA from 1 species
UCUUUUCUCCCUUCUUUUUCUGGAUCUCACGCUAUUUUCAGUUUAAAAUUUUGAAAAUUUUCCUCUCUAUAAGAUGCUCCCCCUUUUUCUCAACCAUCUCUCCUUCUCUCUAAGCCUAAUUAGCCGCCAGGCACACCAGCUCCAAAGUCUCACACCAUACCAGGAGCACACACCUUGAACCAGUCAAGACCAUUGCACCAUCGUUGUUUGACCCACUUGAAACCUAACCCCCUCUCUCUCUCUCUCUCUCUCUCUAUUCAAACGUAGGUUGGUGGUAAGUUUCUUGAAAUGGCAUAUUUGAAUACUGAUGAUUGAAGUUUUCCGGCGAUUUGAAGUCAAAUAGGUAAUUUUUCUUUCCUCCCUUUCAAUGGCAACAUUCUGAGCAUAUUUCUUCAAUUUUUUUUGUGAAAUACUGUGUGUGUGUGUGUGUGUUUAUUCGUGAUCAUAUGUGUAUGUAUUUGCAUGUGUAUUUGUCUAAUUUUCUGUGUAUGUAUUUUUCUAAAAUAUAGGUGGAGAUCCGGUUGAUUUUGAUUGUCUGGAAGCUAGGGUUUAGUUCACCCUUUUGUUCGAUAUUCCUCUUUUUAUAUUUGCGUAUCUGAGGAAAAUUGUGGGUGUUUGAUUCACAGUUCUAUUUUUUUUUUUUUUUAAGUUUUUCAUAUGCAAAUGAAGACACAUGUUGGAUAUAUACAAAUGAUCUGACUUUUUAUGAUUUUUUUUUGUUUUCCCUGGUUUGUAGGUAAAGAUUUCAUUUUUUUUGUAGUUUUGAUGGACUGGAUGUUAUUUCGAUCAAAAGGACCACCGCCAUCACAACCCAGCAAAAUCCUAGCCUCUGUUUUUAGACAAACAUAAUCAAUGUGCCAAAGUAUGUUCCCUUUAAACCCUUACCCCUUUUCUGUUCACUCGACCCAUGUAUUUGUUCACUCAACCCAUGUAUUCAGACCCACAUAAUCAUAAAUGUUGACAUCGAACAUGCUAUUGGAGACCUCUUUCAGAUAUGAGAAAAGUUGAAGGAAAUAGAGAAACAUGAAGAUGGGGUCUACAACUGUUAGUUUAUUUUUUCUUGCAUAUUUCACAUUUUUUACUAUACAGUAUUGGAAAGGUAUAUAAGUUCCAUAUAUUCGCCGAUACUUUUAGACGAUAACAAACUAGAUGCUUUUCAUUGCUUACGUUCCGUUUGUGAACCACCAAGAGGAGUUACUUUAUUAGAUGCUUCCAAUAGAAUACUCAUUUCUUGAGAAAUGUCGAUCUUUACCUUUUUUAUUUGCAAGUUAAUAAAGUUGUGAUUUAAAAAAUGUACAAAUUUUAAUAAUGAUGUAUAGAAUUACAUAUGCCUCAAGUUUUGACAAAAAAAAAAUUAAAUAGGGAACAAGUUAUAAAUUGCUUUUGCUCUUUUCUUCUUAGUUGAAUUUUUAUUUUUUAUCUAGAAUUAUAUACGAUGUUCAUAACUUCAAAUCAUUAAUACAUGA